rnacentral:lncRNA from 9 species
GCCGGGGAUAAGUACGUCUCUGCCAUCAAACUAAGAGUCACCAGGAUGAGGGAAAACGAGACUCCAUGAUCUGCUUUCAGACCAGGAGUUCCCCAAAUCAGGGGGCAGUGCAGUGGAGGAAGAGCUGGGAACCUGGUCCUACAUCUGACCAGAGGGAAGAGGCAAAGAGAGACAGAGAUGGGUGAGUCGUCCCACAGGCCUGUGACCAGCGACCCUCUCUCUCGUUUAGAAAGCAGAUGGCAG